AGGUUGAUAAUUAAUGGAGUAGAGAAACAGCAUUAACAAUAGUAGAAGCAUGUCUUACCCUGGGUAUAGAAGCGUGUAUUUCUCUAGGCAUAGACCAUCAUCUGACAGAGAUUCAAAAGGUCAAAGUGGGGGUGGUGCAAACAAAAUUGCCGGUGGACCUGUUACAGUUGAUAAAGAAAAGGAACAAGGUGCAGUAUCAAAGUUAUAUCCUGACCUUGAAGUAAGUUAUAUAUUUGGUAAUUGUUAUAUUUAUGU